ACCAAGCACUGCCGCCUCCGCCUCCCCCUCACGCCGUCCCCGUCGCCUCGCGCCGCCGCCUCCACCCCCGCCGCCGCCUCCCCAUCGCGCUGCCACCUCCGCCUCCCGCCGUCCCCAUCGCCGGCCGAGCUGCCGCCGUCCGUCUCCCCUCCGCCCUCUCUUCCCCCACUCUCUCCUUCUCCCUUUCCCUCUCCCUCCGCCGUCUCCUCCCCCACCCUCGCCUCCGCCUUCCCCUCGCGCCAUUGCCUCCGCCUACGCAGCCGCUGUCGUCGCGUCACCGUCUCCAAGCGCCUCUGCUUCCGCAUCCCCCUCGCGUCGUCGCCAUCAUCGUCCCCGUCGCCCUGCGCCGCUGGCGCCAUUGCGUCGCCGUCUCCGCCUCCGGCCUCCGUCAACGACGAGGUCGGAGCGCCGACGGCUGCAUCACAGGCGGCGCGAAAAGCUGAGGGCCCAAUCCUGGCGGCGGGACUGCCGCGAGGUUCCGGACGCAUCAACUCGAGGGGGAGACGGCGGAGGGAGUGGGGGUUGAGGCGGGCGCGGUCUUCGUCCUCCCGGCGCCAGAUCUGCUUCUCAUCUCCACAAGGACACCCCAGCCCACCACUCAUCAGCGUCGCCAUGGUCGUCGGCGUCGCCCUCACUGUCGCCGUCGCCAACAGACUGCGUUAAGAAGCCACUCCACCACCAGCAGCAGCAGGGGCAUCCACCGUACGCCGCACCAAUGCCUUCCCCUUCCCUCCCAUCUGUGCCCUCUGGGUCACAGGUAGUCGCUUCAUCGGCAGCCGCGUUGCCGUCAAUGUACAAGGCCAAUGACCAGCAGCGAGCAACUCAUGGCACCAGAGACGGCGGUGGCGACGGUGACUACUAAACUCUUGGCACAGGAGCUUACAAAGGAUGUGCAGGUGAACUCUAGAAGAAAGUUCGAAAAAUGGGACAUUGCAAUCACAACAUUGGAACCUAAUAUCAACACUAUGCUCAUUGCCAUAGUGUCAAGUAAAGAAAGGGACUACAAUGCUUAUUCAAAGGAUUAUAUGUCUUCCAUAGUGAAGCAGUCUUGCACUAAUACUAGAAGCUGCUUUAGAGAUGGAGACAUCCCAUCAAAAAUCUGCAAUUACCCAAUGAUGUUGUGCCUGAGGAUCAUAUAAAUGACUCUGAUCAAUCCUCCACCUUAGCUGGUUGCUCUGCUUGCUGUGACCAUGCCACGACAUCCGAAAACACAGAGGACCAGUGUUGUGCUUGAGGAUCAUAUAAACGACUCUGAUCAAUCCUCCACCAUAGCUGGUUGUUCUGCUUGCUGUGACCAUGCCAUGACAUCUGAAAACACAGAGGACCAGGAGUCCAGGAGUUGGAGCCAUGCAAACAUGCAUCAUGCUAAUGUCGUCCUGAGCUUCCAGAUUAGGCCCUGCUGUAUUGAUCAAUAUAUUCAGCAUGAUGACAGCAUUAUUUCUAUACAUGGGGAUAUUGUGUAUCCGGAUAAGAAUAGCAUUAUUUGUAGGGUGGAGGCUAUAGAAAAAUAUUUCAGCCUUGAAACAGUCAAGGACAUUGUGGAAGCCAUGGUGAGUGAUGCUUCAGUUGUUUUAUACUUCCAAAUCUCUGGGCAUGGUAUGUGCUCCUUUUCAUUUAAACAUGAGUAA
rnacentral:lncRNA from 1 species